rnacentral:rRNA from 1 species
ACGGUAACAGGAGAGAGCUUGCUCUCUUGCUGACGAGUGGCGGACGGGUGAGUAAUGCUUGGGAAUCUGCCUAUAGAUGGGGGAUAACCAUUGGAAACGAUGGCUAAUACCGCGUAAUAUCGAGAGAUUAUAGAGUGCUUUUAGUACUUGUCUAUAGAUGAGCCCAAGUGAGAUUAGCUAGUUGGUGAGGUAAUGGCUCACCAAGGCGACGAUCUCUAGCUGGUUUGAGAGAAUGACCAGCCACACUGGAACUGAGACACGGUCCAGACUUCUACGGAAGGCAGCAGUGGGGAAUAUUGGACAAUGGGGGCAACCCUGAUCCAGCCAUGCCGCGUGUAUGAAGAAGGCCUUAGGGUUGUAAAGUACUUUCGGUAAUGAGGAAGGUAAUUAUUGAAGGAUAGUUGCUUGACGUUAGUUACAGAAGAAGCACCGGCUAACUCCGUGCCAGCAGCCGCGGUAAUACGGAGGGUGCGAGCGUUAAUCGGAAUUACUGGGCGUAAAGGGCACGCAGGCGGAUUGGCAAGUUAGAUGUGAAAGCCCCGAGCUUAACUUGGGAAUUGCAUUUAAAACUACUAAUCUAGAGUUGUUUAGGGAGGGGUAGAAUUUCUCGUGUAACAGUGAAAUGUGUAGAGAUGAGAAGGAAUACCGAAGGCGAAGGCAGCCCCUUGGGAACAAACUGACGCUCAUGUGCGAAAGCGUGGGGAGCAAACAG